rnacentral:rRNA from 1 species
UACGGAGGGUGCAAGCGUUAAUCGGAAUUACUGGGCGUAAAGCGCACGUAGGGGGUUUGUUAAGCCAGCUGUGAAAUCCCCGGGCUCAACCUGGGCACUGCAGUUGGAACUGGCAAGCUAGAGUAGGGUAGAGGGGUGUGGAAUUCCAGGUGUAGCGGUGAAAUGCGUAGAUAUCUGGAGGAACAUCAGUGGCGAAGGCGACACCCUGGACUCAUACUGACACUGAGGUGCGAAAGCGUGGGGAGCAAACAGG